rnacentral:rRNA from 1 species
CCUACGGGAGGCAGCAGUGGGGAAUAUUGCACAAUGGGCGAAAGCCUGAUGCAGCGACGCCGCGUGAGGGAUGACGGCCUUCGGGUUGUAAACCUCUUUCAGUAGGGAACGGGUACUUGCAGAAGAAGCGCCGGCUAACUACGUGCCAGCAGCCGCGGUAAUACGUAGGGCGCAAGCGUUAUCCGGAAUUAUUGGGCGUAAAGAGCUCGUAGGCGGUUUGUCGCGUCUGCCGUGAAAGUCCGGGGCUCAACUCCGGAUCUGCGGUGGGUACGGGCAGACUAGAGUGAUGUAGGGGAGACUGGAAUUCCUGGUGUAGCGGUGAAAUGCGCAGAUAUCAGGAGGAACACCGAUGGCGAAGGCAGGUCUCUGGCAUAACUGACGCUGAGGAGCGAAAGCAUGGGGAGCGAACAGGAUUAGAUACCCUUGUAGUC